UUUCCGUAGGUGAACCUGCGGAAGGAUCAUUGUCGAAACCUGGAAGGCAAAACGACCCGCGAAUCCGUGGCAACUAACGUGGGGGGUGGGCCUCUGGGCCUGUCGCCCAAAGUCCUCGGCAAGGGUUGUGGGGAAAUCCCAACUCCUUUGUCUCGGCGCAAACAACAAAUCCCGGCGCAAACCGCGCCAAGGAAUCAGAAAAAAGAUGCGCACUCCUCGGUAUGUCCCGAAAACGGUGCCUUGGAGGUGUUGCAUCGUCGUUAUCGUAUCUGAAACGACUCUCGGCAACGGAUAUCUUGGCUCUCGCAUCGAUGAAGAACGUAGCGAAAUGCGAUACUUGGUGUGAAUUGCAGAAUCCCGUGAACCAUCGAGUUUUUGAACGCAAGUUGCGCCCGAAGCCGUCAGGUCGAGGGCACGCUUGCCUGGGUGUCACGCAGUGUCGCUAAAUAUUCCCCGUCCCCAUUUAUCGGGAACAACGAGGAUUUGGCGGAUAUUGGCCUCCCGUUAGCACUCGCACGCGGUUGGCCCAAAAGAGAGCCCCCGGGCGCGGCAGCCACGGCACGCGGUGGUUGGCAGCAUGCGCUCCACGAACACCGUCGUGGGCAAGCCUAGCAGACGGGGUGCUGUAGACCCCGACGCAGAGCGUCUUCGCAACGCGACCCCAGGUCAGGCGGGAACACCCGCUGAGUUUAAG
rnacentral:rRNA from 1 species